CCAUUUUUGGUUUUUAGCAGUGCUACUUUCCAUAGCUUGUCUUAAAAAAUCUACAAAGUUUUUUGCUUCUCUUCUGAUGUUCAGGUCUGUGGGGUUACAUUUUAUAGUGAUAUCAGCACACACCUUCCUGCCACAUUUGGGUCCUGGGUUCCUAUGCCCUCUUGCUGCCUCCCAUGUUCAGUUCUGCUGCUGUUGUUUCAGGGAAGUGCCCUCCAGCAGGAUCAGGCUCCCUGGGGUUGUUUCUACUCUUUAUUUGUCACGUCAGCGUUGAUGCUGACUCUUAUCUCCUCAGAUGCCACUGCAUUUCUUUUUCUGUGUUUCAGGCCUGACAGCUCUUUGAGAUGCAUUCAUUGUGCAAGGAGGGCAAAGACCUUGUGAUACAAUCUCUGCAAUCAGAGGGCAAACCUGUCCCUUCCAGUGAGGCCCUGUAGCAGCUCUGUGUAGCCUCCUGGCAUGUGCCCUUUAAUGGAACUUCUCCUUUUGUCUUCAGUAAAUCUGAUAGCAAUCAGGCAGCACAUAUGUGAGGUCAUGUUCCUGCUAUGAGGAAAGAUUGCUGUUAGCUACUGGGAUACACUUCUGAACAGACAAUUUUCUUCAGUUUCUUAACUGCCUUUUUACAAUGGAAGUGCAAACUGUUACUAAUAAACCUGAUAGUUUAUGGGUUUGGGGGAGAUUUUUUCUUUUUGUUCGAAAAACUCGAUUAAGCUCAUCACUGGCUGAAUAUAAAUGCUAAUACAUAGAGGGAACCAGCCAGCCAAAUUGCACUGGCUAAUUUCACUUAAUGAGAAUGUCUGAUUCUGCUCAGUCACUUUCUUGCUGAGUUCAAAUUCAGCUGCUAAAGCAGACCCAGGAGCUUUUUGUUAAAUAUUUUUAAAAGAUGAUCAGUUUAUAAUGAUGUUUUCAAAGUGUGUGACUUCUGUUUGCUGUGAUUGAUGUCACAUACCAGCUAGAAUAAAAUUUUUUCUUUAUUUAAUACCAUGCCAGGCAGUAUUUCUGGCAGAAGAUACAUGUGAAAAGAGAACAUCUGAAAACACUAAUUUGACUGUAUCUGUUGUUAAAUUGUGGAUGCAAGGCAAGACCUGUCUUUCAGAAGCCAAAUACCAGUAUAUGUAAAAGCAGAGAGGGUGUAAGAUCUAAUUAAAGACAACUUUGAGUAGUCUGAAAAAUAUAUGAAUCCUAAAUAUGCAAAAAUAAGUAAUGGCAGUCUGUCAGAAGAGGUGUUGGUGCACAUUACACACUUAAAGACAAAAAGAAUGUGUAAUACCAGAGCUUGCCACAAACCUUUCUGCCAGUUUAAUGAGGUUGCCAUUGCAAAGCUGAAUGUACUUUUUUUUUCUCUUGAUUUUGCUGUAAGGGAGGCCUCCACAAGAAACAGAAGAUUUUCUGUGCCACUCUUCAUGUCACAAGGCUGUGAAGAAAAGUUCCACUAGAGCAUGUUUUAUGAAAAAUGGUGUUUAACAACCUUUUCUAUAGAAAACCUUUGAUUUCUGAGCUGUGUAUAAUUUCUGCUCACUUCAGUCUUUUGGUCUUUUUACCUGGAGAGGAAUUUAGUGAAGUGCUCCAAGUUUUACACACUAGGACUUAUAAACUUAAAUAAGCAAUUCCUGUUAAUUUAUUUUCAGGCCUUAGCUAUUUUCAGGCUGGGUUUUAGGCUUUACCCUAUGGUUAUCCAGUGUGAGGUACCUUGAUUAAAUUCUCAGAAGAAACAGACCUCGUUUGUUUGAUUCCUGGUUUUGCAUAAUAAGGGAACUACUCAAAUCCAAAAAUAAAGAAAAUAAAACAUGGGGAGCAGGAGGGGAGAGAAAGGGAACAAUUUUGUUAAUCAAAGGUUAAUUUAUUGGACUAGGAGCAGAUUUGCUUGGCUUCUUGGAAGUAUUUGCUGCAUGUCCUUCUAAGCUCUGCUGGGAAGGACGAUGCACAGAAUAGAGGGUGUGAUAGACUCCAGGUGUUUUAUGGCACCUGCUCUGCUGUUUAGCACUCAAGUCAGAAUGGGGAAAAAACUGUUAGGUUUUCAGAGACUGUAAAUCUAAUAAUUUGCAAUAUAACUUUCACAGUUAUUUUUUACUUGCAAUCUGUGAAUCUAGGUGGGAAAAUUAUAUUACCUGUGGCCCUCUUGGUGUGACUCCUGAGCUCUUAAAUGCCAAUCUGAAAUUUUCUGGAAGGAAAGAUUGAUCUUCUGAAAUUAUAGGUUCAUGUGAGGGUCAUAAAUGCAUAAUAUGGAAAGAGCAUCAAUUGAUGUGCUCGGUGUUGGGUUAAAAUACAAAUUCAGAUGGAAUGGUUGGUGAGCCGCUUGUAAGUAUUUCAUCUAUUCUGCCUUCCUGUCUCAUUUAAGUAAAUUGAUUCUACAAAGGCAGCCACAUCUUGCCAGUAUUUUUUCGUUUUGGUGACUGAACUAUUACCUCUCACAGCAGGGCAGGACUAACACUUUGUAAUUGCUGUGAGAGGCUGGCACAUCUCUUUAACGCCAGAGUCAGCCAACUGCAGCUCCCAGGGUCUUGCCUUAUCUGCAGAGCUUUGUCCAAAGUAUUGUGAGAUCUCCCACAGGUUUCCAUUAUGCUGAAUUGGCAGCCCUGGGAACCCAACCUCCAGCCUUUGGCAGCAGGAGGAGCUGCUGCCAGAAAUGCUCAUUCAGGUUGGUGGAUACGGUGAGUUGGCUCUGAAGGGGAAGAGAACUGUGGACUGUAUUAAAAAUUGUGCCAAAAUAUGAGACAUGUUCUUCUAUUUCUGUGUCAGAAAAAAAGCGUUAAGGCUCUAAUUAAAGACAAAUUUGAACUUGGAGAAAUUCAUGCCCAUCAUUGGCACCUUUCAUCUCUGAAUUUCAGAGCUAGCCCCUCUGCUAUAUGAAUUUUCACUGCUGCAAAAGUACAAAUACCAAAAGAGGGUGACACUUCAUGGUUCAAAUGAAAUCACUUGGAAAUGCUUUAAAUUAGGUCUUCUGAUUAGCUGCCUCACUGGAUAGUGUAGUAUGUGAGAGAGUAAAUCAAGCACUUAUUUUCCUUUGCUUUGCUGUCUGUGAACAGCAUUGAGCAGAAGAGACAACCAUCUAUCUGUCUUCCAAAUUAUAUGCUUUCUUCACAAAGGAGCCUUUGGUCUACUGCUACAUGCCUGUUCAGUUUUAGAGGAUAAAUACAGCCCACAGUUUUAGAGGAUAAAUAAAUCUGUGACUUCUUAUUUGCAACAAAAAAGUGUGACUGGAGAGAGGGUUGGCACAAGAGAAUAAGCUAUCAAGACUGUUGUGAAUGUUGGAGUGGCAGCAGGGAGAUGGCUGCAUUUAAGGAUUUUAGAGAAGAACUUGUCCUAAAUAAUAAGGUUUGAGCCAACUGUAGAGAAUAGGACUGCUGGUUAUCUUACAAGUCUUAUAUUAUCUUAUAUCUAUAUAUGUGUCCAGUUUUCUGAAGGACAGAACCUUUUUGAAAGAAAAAUGUCAGACUUCUAAAGUUAGCAAAUAAGAGCAGAUGAACUAGGUAUAGCAACCUCUUUGUUUUAUCCCUUUAGCCCAUUUUUUUCUGUUUGUAAUAACCUAGAAAUUCUCAUUCUAGAUUAGAUGUGGUUUCUUGGAGAUGCACAUUCCUCUGUUCCUCUGGUAAAGCUCAAAGUCUCUUGUUGUCACUGUAAUGCAAAUAAUAAUAAGAGCAUAAUCAAGGUUGUAUUUGUUUUGUGAUUAUUCUGAACACUAGAGACUAACAGUAAUUAUAAUACCAUUAAAUAGUAAUGGAAAAAGAUUUAAAAGUAGAUCAUGAGACUCCUGGAAGGAGGCGAAAAUCUUGCUCCCUUUUCUUCACUGCUGCAGGCAUUGCAUUCCCCUCUUUUAUGGCAAAAAGAGGAACCUAAAGUGUUUUCCAAAAUGCCAGGGGUCAAGAGCACCAUUUGAAGGACAGGUUUAUGUGGGAGAAACUAACUAGGAACUAAUUCAGUUUCAAAAAUUAGUUUCCUUGUAAUUUUAGUAGUGCAUUUAGUAGUCAGAGAUACUGCAUUUAGUGCCCAGAGACAGGAAUAUAACUUUGAAGAAAGCAAUGCUUCUGUAUACCUCUAUACCUCUCACCAUGGGAUCUGAUUGCUUUAUAAAUCUAUGCAGCCAGUGUUAUGACACUAUUUCAAACUUUUUUGUGGUGUGCAGAUGAGAAAGCAGUAUGUGAUACAGCUCUAUGGCCGAGACCUUUGUUCCAUGAAACAAUACUCAGUCCCUACAUCAUGGUUUGUGUAAGGUGGUAUUUACCUCCCGUCUUCUUUCAUAUGUGUUCACAGGGUAAAGCUCCUGUCAUGUGCUUGAAACUUUGUGUAAUCCAAGGGAUAAGAACACUGUCCAUCUGGAAGCCAGAGUUAGAGAAGAUAUGACUGCACAAUUGGGCCAGCCAGCAAAAUUCCCCAGAGUCGCGUAAUUCAGAGAUUUUUGUUUUCCCUAAGGAAUAGGGCUGGUGGCAGGAGUGGAAUGUUGAUUAUAUUUAUAUCGCAAAUUACAUUUGUCAUGUAAUGCCAUGGAGUGCUGCCAUGGAUGGCUACAAGCUCUUCAGAAGGGAUAGGCAAGGUUUUAUUUCAACCUGAGAUGCUACUCCAGAUGGUAAGGAAGAACAUCCUGGCACAGCCUGACUUCCGUGGCAUAGCUGGCAGUGUCAGGCUCUUUGCAGAAAGACAUGCACUCCCUUCUUGGAGUCAGGAGGAUUUGGCACUUCGUGUGAUUCUGCAUUAAAAGGGGAAUUCCACUGUACCAACUUGCAGGUUCUCCACAGUGCACAGGUAAGAACUUAGCAUGAUUUUGUAUCUCCCUUUGUAAAGGCUCUGCUAUAUUAAUGAGGGUUAAAAAAAGUGCAUUUCAUCCAGUAGAACUCCUUAAAGGAAAAACAAACCUCUCAUGAAAAGAUUUCUAACUGAAUUCGAGGCAAGUACUUCAGGGAGUAGCAUACUAAAACAGUGUUAUAUCAAAAAGCACCUACUUAGGUGAAGACACUUGUGUCAGCAUUUGUAUCACACACCAUGUAGAAGCUACAUACAGUGAGUGUUUCUAAGAUCAAGAGUAAACACUCUUUAGCUCUUAAAAGCAUCUGAUGAGCUGGGGGACUGUGCUUUUGACUUCUAUACUUUGUCUUUAAAUCAAGAUGCACUAAUUUGUGCUCCUUAUCACAUAAUGCCAUGACUUUUACAGCAGUCAGCAGGGAUGAGUCUGUUUCUGUACAGCAGCUGAAGAAAAUGUCAAGUAGAAAGACAUGCACUGCUCUCCUGAUACAAAUUAGCUUAUCACGUAAAUGGGGAAAUAGAGAACUCUGACCCUAUUAUAGCAGAAUGUAAGAUAGUGGAUUAACACUCCAGACUUCUAAUUAAUCACAGUGUGUCUCAUCCUCCUGAUUGCAGCUGAGUAGGCCAUUCUUCUACGUUAAACCCACAGCUGCCCAGUAUUAACACUUAUCUGUCAGUACAGCCCCUUGUGCAGCUGUUGGCCAAGGUGACAAUGUUACAAUCCUGCAUCGUUGAAAAAUAGGCUUCAGAAAUAUUCAGAAACAUCCUUACAUGUGAACUAUACCUUUAUUGUGUGAAUACUUAAAAAAAACCCCAUAAAUCUUAAAUUCUAAGAAGUGAAUAACACUCUGCUCUGCUUAUGCUAUUUUCUCAUGCAGGUAAAAUAAAGAGCAGUACUGAUCGUGGUUCUUCUAUAACAUGCACAAAGUAUUUUAUACAAACUACAAUAUUGUCAAUUUUUACAGGUUUACUAAAAUGGGAAUUCCAAAAUGUGUCACGUACAUACCAAACUUAUUUAAGAUCACACAGAUUAAUCUGAUACCACUUUUGAGGUAAACAUAUAUCACUGAACUGCUACAACAAGAAGAGCCAUAUUUAACUACUUAUUUUUAUUCCAACUUUCAAGACCAAGUUUUAAGAGGAAUUCUGCAAAGGAAUUGAAGCCAUUGAGUAAACAGACACUAUGCUGACCCCAGAAAAUAUAUCUGUAAUAGGAUCUCUCUUCUCAGUUUUAAGGCAUGUGAAACCAAACUAUUCUCACCAUCAAAAGCCAAACUAAGAAUUUCUCUCCACAGAAAGACAAAAGUUAUUUUCAAAAAGAACUAUCUUAAGGCAAUGUGCCAUUACUACAGGCUGCACACAAACCACAGCUAUCCUCCCCUGUUUUGUUUUCUAAAAUCUGACAGAAACCUCAGUGGUGGAACAAAAGGUGUGUACUAGUAUAUAUUCAGACAAAAGGACGAGAUAGAAAUUUAAUCUAAAAUCUACAGACUCUAAACAAACUCUGUAUAAUACGCUUUUAUUAUUCGUAACAGGCAUCCCCUUUUUCAUUUCACACUACAGAGAAACAGCAACGGACUGAUUCUUCAGUUAUCUGUCAAACUGUGGAAAAAUAAAAAAACUGAAAGCUAACUGAAUUUAUUACAUAGCAUUACUGGACUUUCAAUCCCCAGGUACAUCAGUAGGGAUGGUAACGAGGUCCUGGGUUGUAGGAGUUGUAGCCGUAUUGUCCGUAGUGGGAUGAGCCGUAUUGUCCUUGUCUGUGCUGCUGGUAGUUAUUACCCCAACCUCUUUCUGGCCUCUGAUUAGAUCUGUAGUCACCUUGCCAGUUGUACCUGUCCCCUCUGAAAUAUCUGCCAUCUUGAAACCUGCAAUGAAAAAAAUAUAGUUUUGACAUAAAUUGUGAAGUUUUAAAGAGAUGAACGAUAAUGAACUCUUAUAUUUACAGUUUUCAUUAAAACUGUCAUGUAAAUGGUAAUACACUCAAAUACUUAUCUAUGACAAAUUCAUGAAAACACAUCUACAUUCAUCUGAGAUCAGUCAUGAAUUUCUUACUUAAUACCCUGUUUGCUAAGGACAGUCUGUUUCCUAAUACAGAGUACUCACAGGCAUUAGGUGAACUGCUGCAAGUUUGAACAGAGACUCAAACAGACCAUUUAUGUAAACUCAACCAGGAGGUCCAUCUGUAGAUGUAUCAAAGCCACGUUCCAUCCAGUACCUUCAUGGUUGAAAGCUUUACCAAAGCAGGCUUAAGUACAACAAGCACAGAGAUCUGCACAUUCCCUAAGAUACGUGUGACCGCUAAAAUACCACCAGCACAGUCUCUUGCAGAUUUCCAUACUCAAGACACUGUACCUUCUCAGUGGUAUUUAGCCCUUGUUCAGUCUAAAUUUUGGCUUUUCAACUGUAUCUCAAUUCCUAUAAACACUUGAGCUGGCCCACAGUUGUUUUGUUUGCAAAUGGU